rnacentral:lncRNA from 1 species
GGGAGCUCAGCUGUGCUUUAGACCUGUGUGCUUUCUUUUUAUAUCAUAGCAACACUAAAAUGAUCUUCUCUCUUAUUCUUCUACUUAUUUGUGUCGCAGCAUCACAAGAUGCUUCAGUAAAUAUAUCAGACACAGCAGCCCAACGGGUUAACUGUUCAGCCCACUGGCACCACAGACCCUGGAGAUACUUCUGAGUCACAGACUACAACACAACUAAUCAUAAUUCAACAAAUGGAUGACACAAACAACACUGAGACAACCACUUCACAAUCUACCUGGCUGCCCCAGACAUCUAAACUGACAACGCCCGAACUGAAAAUCUCUGUCGACUCUAGUGAAACAUUUCCAGCAGAAGAAAACAGCAAAGCCACGGAUCUGGGAGACAGAGGAGGACAAGAUGUGACAACAAAUCCGGGGCUGGUUGCAGUGCUGUGUAUUUUCUGCAUUGUGGUGGCUGUAGUUGUUGUGGUUGUGAUAGUGAAGGCUGUUCGCUCCAGGAGGCCACAGUUUGAUAGGCUUGAUGAUGUACCAAUGGGCAAGGUAAAUGAGGAUGCACCGUUUGCCCGCUACCCUCCAAAAUAAAUUCCAGUUUCUUAAACUUGCAGUCUCAGUAAACUACAUAGCUAUGCCUCUGAUAUUUAGCUUGUUUUUUUUGUUUUUUAAAUGAUAUGUGCCUUUUUAGCAUAUAGACUUGAUGUGCAAUACCUAGUGUAUUAGUUAGAAAAUAUGGUAAUGUUGUGCUUAAUCUUUUCCCACAAUAGCACAAACAGUGAAAAAUCUAUAGUCAAAUGAGGAAUGUAAAUGUACAUAAGGAUAAAUGAACUGGUGGCCACCUCUGUCAUGAUUUGCACGGUCAAUAUUUGUGAGAGACUAUGACGGCUGUGUAGCAUUUUCAACUUGUCCUCCAGAUGGCGGCAAAAUUAUUCACAAGCAGUUUUACUGUAUGUAUAAUGUGGUCAUAAAGACCUGCUCUUUUAAUUUGAUUUGAGAAUUUGUAUUUGUUUUUGCUCACAAUACCAAAUCCUUUCAGUGUAAUUAUUGGUCAGGGAACCUGAUCUAUAAAACAAUUCUACAAAUGUACUGUAAACAAACAUAAAUUAUACAAUAAAUCACUG